rfam:Zootermopsis nevadensis contig13159, whole genome shotgun sequence.
CACGGUGGUCUAGCGGUUAUAACGCUGGCCUUGUAAUCCUGGGGUCUCGGGUUCGAUUCCCGGCGGUG